CUGCAAAGCCCUACAAACUGUUGUACUGGCAAAAUGAGGGAAUGAUGGAGGAAUGGAAAUGAGUAACCUGAGAAGGGCAGAUAAGAUGACCUAGGGAACUAGCGACCUGUCAGCCUCAUCUCUGUGCCGGACAAGAUCAUGGAAAAGAUCUCCCCAGGAGCUAGGCUAAGGCACAUGGAAGAGAGAGAGGUGAUGCAAGACAACCAGCAUGGUUUCACCAUGAACAACCUAGUGGCCUUCUAUGAUGAUGUAAAUGCAUCAGUGGACAAGGGAAAAUAACUUGAUGUCAUCUAUCCAGAAUUCAGUUAAGUCUUUGAUACAGUCCCCCAAAAUUCCCUUCUCUCCAAAUUGUAGAGAUGUGGACUUGAUAGAUAGCCUGUUCAAUGGAUGAGAAACUGGUUGCAAGACUGCACCCAGAGAGUGGUUGUCAAUAGCUCAAUGUUCAGAUGGAGAUAAGUGAUGAGUGGCGUCUCUCAGGAGUCAGUACUGGGACCAAUGCUGUUUAACGUUGUAUGGCAAACAGGUAGUAGACCACAGAGAUUAUUGCAUCACAAAGUAAAAAUGAAAUAAAGAUCUUACCCAUUUCCUGGGCUCACAGAAGAGCUCCAAGAGGAGCAAUCUCCAGAUAGAGAUCCUUCCUCCUUGGGAGUCAGCCCUUAAAUGGGGUCUAGGAGAGGUGGAGCAGGCUCCACCCCUUCCAGUCACUCAGGUGAAAUUGCGUUCACCUGUGCCCCUGCAGAUGACUCAGCGCUUGUCUCAGGUGGUCAAUCAGAGGUUCAGGCUAGGAUUCAACAGUUCCCGUACAAAUAUCUUCAUCAGUGAUGUCAACAGUGGGAUUGAGUGCACCCUCAGCAAGUCUGUAGAUGACACAAAGCUGUAUGGUACAACUUAUAUGUCCAAGGAAUAAGAUGCCAUCCAAAGAGAUCUAGAUAGGAUAAAGCAGUGGGCCCAGGAGAACCUCAUGAGGUUCAAUAAAUUCAAGUGCAAGGUCUUGUCCUGCAUCACAGCAACCAUUUGUAUAAUAAUCACAUGGGGAAUGAAAGGAUACAGCACAGCCUUGCCAUAAAGGACUUGGAGGUACUGGUGAAUAUGAACCAGCAAUGUGCCUUCACAGCCCAGAAAGCCAACUGUAUUCUGGGCCACAUCAAAAGAAAUGUGGCCAGCAGGGCAAGGGAGGUGAUCCUGCCCCUCUACUCUGCACCAAGGAGACUUCAUGAGGAGUGCUGUGUUCAGACGUAGAGUCGUCUGUACAGGAGAGACAUGGACCUGUUAGAAUGAGUCCAGAGGAGGGCCACAAAAUGAACCAAGGGAUGGAACACCUCCCAUACAAGGACAGGAUGAGAGAGCUGGGGCUGUUCAGCCUGGGGAGAGGAAAGCUUUGGGAAGACCUGACAGCUGCCUUUUAGUAUCUAAACGAGGGCUAUAAGAAAGAAAAGGGACAAACUGUUUUUCAGGAUCUGCUAUGAUAGGAUAGGGGCAAAUGGCUUCAGACUAAAAGAGGAGAUACUUAUGUUGGGUAUAAGGAAGACAUUUUUUUCUGAUAACAGUGGUGAGGCACUGGACUGGGUUGCCCAGAGGGGUAGUGAAUGCACUGUUCUUAGGGACAUUCAAGGUCAGGAUAGACCAGGCUCUGAGCAACCUGAUCUAGCUAUAGAUCCCCUUCAUUGCAAGGGAUGGGACUAGAUGACCUUUAAAGGUCCCUUCUAACUCAAAUGAUUCUAUAAUAUCCCAAGUUGGAAGAGACCCACAAGAAUCAGUGUGUUCAGCUCUUGAGUCUACCCAAGACUACUCAAAAAUUCUGAAAGUGUUGUCCAAAUGCUUUUUGAACCCUGUCAAGUUUGGUGCUGUGACCAUUGCUCUGAGGAGCCUGUUUCAGGGCCCAACCACCCACUCUGUAAAGAAACCCUGACAUAGCUCUAUCCCAUUCCCUCAGGUCCUGUCUCUGCCACCAGGAAGCAGAGAUCAGUGUUGCCCCUCCACUCUCCUCGUGAGGCAACUGUAGUCUUUUAUGAGGUCUCCUCUCAGUAUUCUGUUCCAAUAUUUUGGAAAUAUAUGUGUUGUUUUUUUUUUUCUUCCUGUAAUGCUAAAUUACCACAACAUUUUACAUUGUUGAUGUAAUUCUGGCAUAUAAGAGAGAAACUGAUGUCUUUCUUUUAAAAAUACUUUUAAAACAAACUGAAUUUAAGUUGAAAAAAAAAUAUUAUACGAUUGCAUCAAUUCAAAGCUCCUUCUUACUUGCAGGAUCUUCAUUUAUUUAAUGCAACUUUAGAUGUAUAAUGCUGAUUAAUGUAGUUGUUCUUUACUGACUAAAUGAUCUCCACUGAACUGCAAAGUUCAUAAAGGAAGAUGAUUAAUUCAUAACUGUAUUGUUUAUGCUGUCUUUUCUAAAGAAAGCAUUCCAAUUAUCAUUUAAAUAAUAGUACUUGGUUCUAAAAUUGACCAAAUAUGCAAAUAUUCUACUUCUGUUCUAACUGAGCCAUUAUGUUCCAAAGAAGAUCAAAAAACGAUGGGCCAGUCAUGUGCCGAUUUAUAGUUGUGUGAUGCAUAAGGUAGUCUUGCAUAAGGAAAAUAACUUUGAAUUUACACCAGAUAAUCAGAUGCGAGCCAUUGUAAUGAAUAUCUCUGGGAAACUUUGACAUGUUAUCUUUGAAAAUAUGAUAUUCACUUACUGCUAGGAAGGAAUGACUUAAAUCACAAACUUGGGGCAUUAGUUUCCUUAGGCUGUUUCACUUUCAGGACAUAAAUCUAGAUUUGAAAGGACUGCCAGCUAUCUCAAUUUCCAUUAACAACUGGGGAGCUUCAGCAAUCUAGAUAUUCAUGCAGUACACUGCAGAUAAACCACUAAGUACAGAAAAUGUUCAUUCAUGCAGCACACAUAAAACUAAAACUCCACUCCUUAUGAGAAAAAUCAAAACACCCCAAAUUAAAGCAACAGCAACCCCACUCCCUUUUCCCCAGGCAAAGCUGCAAAGUCAGCAGUUCAACACUUUGUUUCCCUUCAGCUGUAUGGUCACAAAUUAAUGGGGUGGAGGCAUGAUAACUAUGAAGGAAUUUGGGAUGUUUUCAUUAUUGCUGGGCAAAUCACUCUUGAAAAGUAAGCAUCUCUUUUAUGCAUAGAUCAAGUGAACUUGGCAGCAGCAAUGUCAUUGAUGCUAACUGUGUGUGACAGGAAACAAAGCCAUGUGACUGCUGUGUUUUGUAAGUCUAGCUCUUGUGUAAGAUUCUGGUACAUUCUUUUCUAGCUAUUCUUUCAGAAAUUUGAACUUUUAAUUAAAAGGCAACACUGAAGCAUGUCCAGUGCCGACAGUCUUAAUGCUGUUUCUUCUCCAUAUUAACAUGCAACCAGCUUCAGUCAGUGUGCAAGGAGAUACUGUAUAAUUAGCGUCAUUGUCCAUUAUGAACAAAUAUGUGUUUUGGUGAGGAAGAGAAUGUACUAGUGUUUUCUAAUCAAACAAUCAGGAGUUGGAAUUUUCAGCUUUUAGCGGUCAUGUUGCUUUCUCAUAAACAUCGUAUUGACCACUUUAUUCUAUGAGUUCAAAUGAAGUACACAUGUCAAAAUCAGGUUGUUUGUAAGGAUAUCUAAGUUAUUAAAAAUUAUUCAACUAAAAAAUCUGAAAUGCAACAUUUAUUACAAUAAAUAUUUAUAGCAAAUAUUGAUAUGUGAACAGAUAGCCAGAUGCUGGUCUCAGGGAAGAUGAGCUAUAAUAUAUAUUUUAUAAUAUGCAUGGUUAUUUAACACACUAGAAUUCAUUUCACUGAUAAGCAAAGAGCUUGGUAAUGCAUGUUUAUCAAGGAUCUUCAAUAAUAUGUAAUACUGACUUUUAGUAGGACAAACCUAGGGACUUGUAUGACAUGACAUGAUAUACUUAAUGCACCAGCUGGUGAACUGAGUGUUGGGAUUGAAUUCUGAAAUGAAUUUGGGGUGAUAAAUUAGAAACACAUUAAAUGUCAUGAAGUAGUGAGUAGAAAAACUAGAAAAUAUGUUUGUUUAGGAAGCUUAAUUUUUCCUUUGCUUGAAUUCUGGACUUGUAUUAUGCAUGAAUAGUGAAACUCCUAAUUUUUAAAAAUUUUCGUACUGUCAUUCUAGUUUAUGAAUUAAAUAUCUUGCAAUAGUAGCAUAAAACUAUAGGAUUAUAUUCUGAUUUUCAGACGGACUAUACAUAUAUUGUUAAUUUUCAUGGAAUUUGUAAUGAAAAUAUUACAGAAAUAAAAUCAAUUUCUACACAGAUUAUUAAAUAAUCUUAUGGAAUCAAUACUUACAGUAUAUUUGAAAAAGCAACAAUAUUUGAAAAUGUAUCCAAAGUAUUUUUGCAAAAUCCUCAAGAAAUAAUCACUUAUAUCUUAUGUCUUCACCUCCAAAGACCACCAAUCCUUGGUAAAAGUUGGUCUGGACAUAUACACAAAUUAACAUAUAGAGGAAGUAGUAAUUCAAAGCUAUCAUUACAACAUUUGGACACUUCUGGAUUAUUCAUUACUUCUUGAGAUGAUGGUCUGGCUUCUGACAGCUUUAUAGAUGGCUUAACAAAAAGAGCAGAUCAAUAUGCAGAAACAAUCUAAAAGGGACUAUCUGACCAGGAGAUCAUGGUCAGGUGCAUAGUAAUCUGCUGUUUGUUUGCAUCACUAAAUCAUUAUACAAAUACAUUAUGUUAGAUGUUCCUUCACGGACACAAAUAUUGUACUCAUAAGAAACCACAUUAUGAUCCAGACUUGCCCAUACAGCUGUGAUUCCUGCAGGAAGAAACCAGUUACUUGGUUUAGUUCAACCCCUUCCUGUCCAGGAUGAUUAACCCACUCUAUAUUUUCCUUUCUGCAUUUCACGAUUUAACACUACUCUUUUCUUCAACUGCCUCAACACUUUUGAAAAUUCAGAUGAGGGCAAGGACUACAUUGGGAGUGAAAUUCUGCUACAGAAAUGGGUAAUGUAAAGGUUUUUCAGUGCUGGAGUGAGAAUGAGUAGAAAGGAACAGAGUGCGAAGAGAAGAAUAAGAUAAAAAUGGAAAGCAGAAAUCCUGAGCUGGCCCCACUGAACAACGUGUUCAAACAGCUCUCACACCAACCUCAACUGAGAGAGUGGAUUUUAAAUAAAUAAAUAAAUAAAUAAAACAUUCUUUUUUAUGCUUUACUAUUUGCCACACUUGAGCGCACCUCUAAAAAAAGAUAAGUAAAAUAUUAAAAAGAUGUUUUAAAAGAAUAUAUAAAACCAGUGGAAGAAAGACAGGUAACCUUUGAUAAAAGGAACUUGUGAGAAGACACAUGGGAAUGUAAGAAAAAGUUGAACACAGAUGCUACAGUGGUAAAAAGAUGGAGUAGGAAGCUCAGUAAGCAACUGGGAGAGAACAGAGCCACAAAAUACACCAGCAAGAAUUAGCUUACUGGUUCUGAUGCCAAGGUGAAGAGGACAAAACCAAAAGAAAGACGUCUAAACAAUGUAAGAAGACAGUUUUUAUGUAAUAGAUAUUUGGCUGUAUAUUCUUCGAUCAAACAUGUUUGAUUAAAGUUAAUUUUACUAGAGGCUACCUGUUUUGAAUUCUGUUUUCCACAGAAGGUAUUUUUUCUCAGAAAAUGACCUAUUUUGGAAACCAACCCUCAGAACACAGGAGUCUGCCUUUGUGGAAGUGUUCGUUGUCUUGUGGAGAAGAGGGAAAGUUGAGUGAGAAGCAACACACCUCUGUCUCCCCAGGCUAUUCUUGGCUCAUUCACUUCCCUGAGCAUUAAAUUCAUUCACAAAUUGGGAACUUAUCCCGCUGUUACUUUCUAGCACAUUUGAUAAAGUGAUGAAUCCUGAAUUAGUAUUGCAGUGUUGCUAAGUUUUGAUAAAUGUGCUUAUAAAUUCAUUGCUGCAGAAGAAAAGUCUCUUCUUUAAUCAGAAAUCCUGCUGCUGUCAAUGACAGAAAUAUAGCUUGAAACGAAACAUUCUGAAGAAAGCACCUUGUUAAGAUGUAAUUUUCUUCGUACAUGGCUUUAACAACAACCCAGCCCUAUUUGCAGAGCUAUGGCAUUAGGCUUUACACACCAAAAAUGCUUAGGCUUUUAGUAAACCUAGCAAAUAUUUUGCGGUGCGGCUGACACAUUAACAUGUGUAUUAGUGAGCAGUUGUCCAUAAGGAAUUUGUCAGACUGUCAACAAAGACUAAGACAGCCAGUCCAGUCCCUGCUAAGUGUAAAAACACCUGGAGAUCACAGCAAUCACUCAGAAGGGAAUUAAAGUAAUAGAUUAAUUGACCGUAAGAAUCAUUUUCCUUGUUCAUGAAUCUGGAUUUCCCUUGGCUGCCAGAAUUGUAGAUGAAAGAGAAAAACAUCCUUGACCUUUUCCGUCAAAGAAAAUGCUUCUCUCUUUGUCUAACACACAAAAAUGUGGACUAUUUGAGUGAUUUAAAAGGUCUGAGAAUUGCAAACAAACAAACAAAAAAAAAAGAGUGUCAAUAAAAUAGUAUUCAGCUUCUCAUUUAUUCUGCUG
ensembl:lncRNA